AAGAUUAAAGUUGGAUUAUAGGGGAGUAACUUUGGUACAGUCUUCUUCUCUGGUUGUUGUACAAAAAUUAAUGAAACAAUAGCCCAAAGUUGCUCUGUCAGAACUGUGUUGAGAUACUAAAACUGAAUUCUAGAACAUGAAUGGUCACAGUGGAAUGGGGCCGAAUUGGAAGCGCCAUAUCUUUAAUUCCAUUCAGUUUUGUACCAAGGAUCCUAUAGUAAGUUUGAAGACUGAUGUUCAGUAAACAAUCUUUAUUAAUGGAGAUCACCUUGUUCUUAACACAAAUCAAAAGAAAAGGAGGGUGAAAGGGGGUCGGUUCAGAAAAGUGCUGAAGAUCAGGACACCGAAAUAUCUGAAAAAGCGAGGACAAAGAUUAGGGGCACUAUAGAAUCAGAUGUAUUUGAGUGAUUUGGGGUAAGAAUCGACCGCGGGGAGAUGGCGUCGGACGUGUCGCGAUCCCACAGACCUAGCCCGAGCCUAGCCGGAGAUAAUUCACCGGCGGUCACCGUGGCUCGGUCAUUUCCGCCGCCGUGUCACCCAUGCCUCGCUCCUCCCUCACUGUGUCUCUUCUUUAUGUGGUAACCAUGCACGAACUAUGUAAUCCGCG
rnacentral:lncRNA from 7 species